rnacentral:rRNA from 1 species
GAUGAACGCUGGCGGUAUGCCUAACACAUGCAAGUCGUACGAGAGUUUUUAACUCUAGUGGCGGACGGGUGAGUAACACGUGAGAAUUUGCCUUUAGGAGGGGGACAACAAUCGGAAACGAAUGCUAAUACCCCAUAUGCUUUCGAGUGAAAUGGAUUUUAUCCGCCUAGAGAGAAGCUCGCGGCUGAUUAGCUUGUUGGUAAGGUAAGAGCUUACCAAGGCGACGAUCAGUAUCUGGUUUGAGAGGACGAUCAGACACACUGGAACUGAGACACGGUCCAGACUCCUACGGGAGGCAGCAGUGGGGAAUUUCCGCAAUGGGCGAAAGCCUGACGGAGCAAUACCGCGUGAGGGAAGAAUGCCUAUGGGUUGUAAACCUCUUUUUCAGGGAGGAAGUCAAAUGACGUGUACCUGAAGAAUAAGCAUCGGCUAACUCCGUG